AGCGAACGCUGGCGGCAGGCCUAACACAUGCAGGUCGAGCGCCCCGCAAGGGGAGCGGCAGACGGGAGAGUAACACGUGGGAACAUGCCCUUCAGUACGGAACAACCAAGGGAAACUUUGGCUAAUACCGUAUACGCCCGUAAGGGGAAAGACUUAUCGCUGAAGGAUUGGCCCGCGUCUGAUUAGCUAGUUGGUGGGGUGAUGGCCCAGCAAGGCGACGAUCAGUAGCUGGUCUGAGAGGAUGAUCAGCCUCACUGGGACUGAGACACGGCCCAGACUCCUACGGGAGGCAGCAGUGGGGAAUAUUGGACAAGGGGCGCAAGCCUGAUCCAGCCAUGCCGCGUGAGUGAUGAAGGCCUUAGGGUUGUAAAGCUCUUUCGUCAGGGAAGAUAAUGGCGGUACCUGAAGAAGAAGCCCCGGCUAACUUCGUGCCAGCAGCCGCGGUAA
rnacentral:rRNA from 1 species